rnacentral:rRNA from 1 species
GUGACCCCAGGUUAGCCGGGAUCACCCGUUGAGUUUUAGCAUAUCAACAAGCGGAGGAAAAAAAACUUACAAGGAUUCUCCUAGUAACGGUGAGCGAACCUAGAAAAGUCCAACUUGAGAAUCAGACGGCCCCACCAUUCGAAUUGUAGUCCAGAGAAGCGUUCUUAAUGGCGGAUCGAGUUCAAGUCCCUUUGAAAAGGGCACCAGAGAGGGCUCCAUUGUGGUCGAACCUUGUCGUACCACGAGGCACCGUUGGGGAGUCAGAUUAUUUGGGAAUGCAGUCCCAAUCAGGUCAUAAAUUGCAUCGAAGGCUAAAUACGGGCGAGAGACCGAUAGCGAACAAGUACCGUAAGGAAAAGAUGAAAUGAACUUUAAAAAAAGAGUUAAAGAGUGCUUGAAAUUGUUGGGAGAGAAGCGAAUGGGGGUCGGCGAUGCAUCCUGAUCAGACAUGGAACGACGACGAACCGAUUCAUCCAUCGACUCAGGGCACGGACUAGCAUGAAUUAAGGCGAUGGCCAAAGCUCGGGAAGUCAACACGUCUGCAGAAUGCUGUCAUCCUAAUUAUGGCAGACAGCAUGCAUCCUUGACGUACCUUAGCACCUGUGCGCUCUCGGUGCUGGCCUGCGGGCUCUCCAUUCGACCCAUCUUGAAACACGUACCAAGGAGUUGACAUGUGUGCGAGUCAAUGGAUGAGUAAACCCAUAAGGCACAAUGAAGCUGAUUGGUGUGAUUUUCUAAGGGAUGCAACGAUGACCGACCUCGAUCUUCUGAGAAAGGUUUAAGUGCAAGCAUACCUGUCGAGACCCGAAAGAUGGUGAACUAUGCCUAAGCAAGGUAAAGCCAGAGGAAACUCUGGUGGAGGUCCGCAGUGAUACUAACGUACAAAUCAUUCGUCUGACUUGGGUAUAGGGGUGAAAGACUAAUCAAACCAUCUAGUAGUUGGUUCUCUCCAAAGUUUUCCUCACGAUAGCUGGAGAUCGAGCGCGAGUUUUAUCUGGUAAAGCCAAUGAUUAGAGGCAUCAGGGGCUCAACACCCUUAAACUAUUCUCAAAUUUUAAUAGGUAGGAUGGCACGGCUGCUUCUUUGAGCCAUGCCAUGGAAUCGAGAGCUCCAAGUGGGCCAUUUUUGGUAAGCAAAAUUGACGAUGUGAGAUGAACUGAAAGUCGAGUUACGAUGCCCAAUUGUGCAUUGACCUAGAUCCCACAAAGGGUAUUGGUCAAUUAAGACAGCAAGACGAUGGUUAUGGAAGUCGAAAUCCGCUAAGGAGUGUGUAACAACUCACCUGUCAAGUCAACAAGCCCCAAAAAUAGAUGGCGCUGAAGCGCACGACCUAUACCCAGCUAUCGAGAUAAGCUCCAGGCCUUGAUGAGUAGGGAGUGCAAUGGUCAAUGCAAAACCUUGGGCCCAGGCGUGAGUGGUCGUCAUUGCAAAUCUUAAUGGUAGUAGAAAUUAUUCAAAUGGGAACUUUGAAGGCUGAAGAGGGGAAAGGUUUCAUGUGAACGACACUUGCACACGGUUAGUCAAUCCUAAGGGUCGAGAAAGCCUGACUGAUAGCGCGUUUCAUGCGUGGACCGAAAGGAAAUCGGGUUAAAAUUCCUGAAUCGGGACGCGACGGUUGAUGAUAAUGCUAGGGAGUUCGGUGAUGUCGAUGAGGGCCUCAGGAAGAGUUAUCUUUUCUAUUUAACAGUCUGUCCACUCUAGAAAUGGCUUAGCCAGAGAUAGGGUCUAGGGACUGGAAGAGCAUCGCACAUCUUGUGGUGUCCGGUGUGCCCCUGGUUACCCUUGAAAAUUCGAAGGAUCGAGUACCGUCCGCACCCGAUCGUACUCAUAAUUGCAUCAAGUCUCCAAGGUGAAUAGCCUUUGGCAAUGGAACAAUGUAGGCAAGGGAGUCGGCAAAAUGGAUCCCUAAUUUCAGGAAAAGGAUUAGCUUUGAGAACUAGGCAUGGGGGUCCCAGUCCUGUACCUGUCGACUAUCGGUGGACUGCUCGAGCUACUAUCACGGCUCGAGGAGAUCGUUGCGUGUUGGCUAGAGGAUGGACUGGGAAUGACUCCUUCGAGGCUUUUCCUAGGCGUCGAACAGUCGACUUAGAACUGGUACCAAAAAGGGAAAUCUGACUGUUUAAUUAAAACAAAGCAUUAUGAUGGUUCCUGCGGAUGCUCAUGCAAUGUGAUUUCUACCCAGUGCUCUGAAUGUCAAAGUGAAGAAAUUCAACCAAGCGCAGGGUAAAUGGUAGGAGUAACUAUGACUCUCUUAAGGUAACCAAAUGCCUCGUCAUCUAAUUAGUGAUGUACAUGAAUGGAUUAGCGAGAUUCCCACUAUCCCAGUCUACUAUCUAGCGAAACCACAGCCAAGAGAAUGGGCUUGGCAGAAUCAGUGGGGAAAGAAGACCCUGUUGAGCUUUACUCUAGUCUGACUUUGUGAAAUGACUUGAGAGGUGCAGGAUAAGUGGGAGCCGAAAGGCUAAAGUGAAAUACCACUACUUUUAACGUUAUUUUAUUUAUUUCGUAAAUUGGAGGUGGGGUGCUACCCCUUUUUUUGGACCAAGGCUUGCGUCGAGGGUCGAUCUGGGUGAAAGACAUUGUCAAGUGGGGAGUUUGGUUGGGGUGGCACAUCUGUUAAAAGAUAAUGCAGGUGUCCUAAGAUGAGCUCAACGAAAAUUGAAAUCACGUGUGGAAUAGAAUGGAAAAAGCACGUUUGAUUCUAAUUUCUAGUACGAAUACGAAUCCUGAAAGCAUGGCCUAACGAUCCUUUACACCUUCGAAAUUUGAAGCUAGAGGUGACAAAAAAAUUACCACAUGGAUAACUGGCUUGUGGCAACCAAGCGUUCAUUGCAACAUUGCUUUUUUAUCCUUCGAUGUAGGCUCUUCCUAUCAUUAUGAAGUAGAAUUCACCAAGUGUUAGAUUGUUCACCUGCCAAUAAAGAACGUGAGCUUGGUUUAGACUGUCGUGAGGUAGGUUAGUUUUACCCUACUGAUGAUAGUGUCUCAAUAGUAAUUCAACCUAGUACGAGAGGAACCGUUGAUUUACACAAUUGAUCAUCGAGCUUGGUUGAAAAGCCAUUGACCCAGAACUACCAUGCGCUGGAUUAUGACUGAAAGCCUAUAAGUUGAAUCCGGGCUAGAAGCGAUGUAUGCACCCACCGUCCAUUUGCCGACCCACAGUAGGGACCUUAUGACACCCAGAGGCACAUGUUGUUGGCCAAGCCCUCGCAGCGGACAUGCUACAUUGGCCACCUUGAAGUACAAUUUCUAUCAAGCGGUGGGUAGGAUCCUUUGUAGAUGACUUAAAUACAUGAUGAGGUAUUGUAAGCGGCAGAGUGGCCUUGCUACCAUGAUCUACUGAGAUUCAGC